rnacentral:ribozyme from 13 species
AAAAAAAAGAAAAACAAAAGAAAAAGGAGGAAAAGAAGAGGCAAAAUGGCACGAUUUGACACAAACUCACCAUUCAUCUUCUUCUUCUUCUUCUU